UAGAAACUCAUGGGUUCUGUGUCCUGCCUU
rnacentral:piRNA from 1 species